GAAUAAAUGGACAUAUUCCUCAAACUGUAGAGUUGAUAAAAAGUAACUCCUAUCACAUAAUGCAGUGAUACUUUCUAGGCUGACAGGCCUUAAAACUAUUUUCUUUUUCUCAGCUCUGUCUGCAAGGACAUUUUUACUCUCAAAAUGAACACAAAUACUGUAUUUUCAGUGUGGUCAGCAUUCCUGAGCAACAAAUGUCUGGCAUCAUGGCAAAAAACAACUUGCAAAUGAACUGACUGCAGCUUGAAUCUUCCAAUGACUGAACAGCUUGUCAGAGCGUUCUGUCUCUAAGCCUUGGAACUAAGAAGGAGCCAAGCCUGGAGGCGGAGGACCUGCGGGUUGGGGUGAAGGGUGAGCCCAUUGUUUUGAGAGAGCGGGUGAGGAAUGGGCUGAAGAGAAACAGGAGGGCAUAUUGCCAUCUGUGUCAGAUACAAAGAGAAAGACCACUAGAGGAUUGCGAAAAACGCAGCUCCAAAGACUGUCAUGGGCGGUAAGAAGGAACUGAAGAGACGGCGGGUUGGCAGGGACCUAUAUACACCACCACGAAGGCACAACUCCAGGGGGCUCCACAGCCGACCCAACGGGUAUGGCUAGAGGAAAGUCUUCUGAUGACUCUACGCAGCGCACGCACACCUACUUGGAAUUGAUAUGAGCAAGCCCAGGAAGAACAACCUAUAUUAAGAUGAAGAUGAAAGUAUGUAUCAGUAACUUCAGAG